UCUUAAUCACUGGACCACCAAACAGACAGCAUAUACCAGCUGAUAUGAAGCCCCCAAGACACAUACAGUAGAGGACUUUUGGGUCUGUGUUCAAUCAGAGAUGAUGCACCUAUCAUUCAAGAGACUGGAGGCCCCAGGGAGUAUAGAGGGAGCAUACUUGAUUAGGGGAAGAAGCAAACUGAGAACUUCAGAGUGAAGAUAAUCAUGAGGCAGAAGAUCUCAAGCACAGCUUGCGAAUAGAAGCAAAGGAACACUGAAGAGAUGCAGCCACAGGGCCACUGCAUGCAUGAAUCUCAGGUGAAUAUCUUGUAUGUACAGCUGCCUGAGUUUGUGAGGAUUCUGGCUUCCAGUGGCAUCUGGGCUGUGGAGUUUGACAAUGUGAAAUGAGGAAUGGCAUAUUAUCAGAACUUAGUCUGUAUCAGUUGAUAGUUCAAGAAAAUGAGAAAGAUUAAUCCUCAUAGCAGAUAAAACAAGAAGAUGGUCACCUUGCAUCUCUGACAGAAUAGAGUGGUAAGAUCUCCAGAAUAUUUAUUGAAAAGACUUUUCUCCAUUGGAUUGUAGUGCCUCUGCUGAACAUUGAUUGGCCAUUGAUGUCUUGCUCUAUUUCUGCUUCUUGACUCAAUUGUAUUAGGUAUGUGUCUGUUGUAAUGUCUGUACCACCCAGUGUUUAUUACUUUAGGUUUACAUAGUUUUUAUAUUAGAGUAUAUGAA
ensembl:lincRNA Gm12629 predicted gene 12629